rnacentral:rRNA from 1 species
UACGGGGGGGGCAAGCGUUGUUCGGAAUUACUGGGCGUAAAGGGCUCGUAGGCGGCCAACUAAGUCAGACGUGAAAUCCCUCGGCUUAACCGGGGAACUGCGUCUGAUACUGGAUGGCUUGAGGUUGGGAGAGGGAUGCGGAAUUCCAGGUGUAGCGGUGAAAUGCGUAGAUAUCUGGAGGAACACCGGUGGCGAAGGCGGCAUUCUGGACCGAAACUGACACUGAGGCGCGAAAGCCAGGGGAGCAAACGGG